rnacentral:lncRNA from 1 species
CGUCCCUGCAGCCAGCAAAGGAGCGGGCCGCCUCCUGGUUGCCACGUGCGGCAACGGAUGGGGAGCCGGAGGGAGUGAAGACCCCAGGGAAAGGGCCGCUGGGGGAACUGCCGCCCGGGAGGACCCACGUGGAGCAGUGUUCUCUUGGAGGGCUGGAUAAAAAGAUGGCAACAAAAUUGUAUUCUGUUGGUUGAAGCUUUUUAAGAAACCUGCUUCUCAGAAUGUUCAGAGCCACACACUUGUUCAUAGGUGAAGAGAGAGGACUGUUUGUCCUUCUAUUUUUGAGUUGAAACUAUUUAAUUAAAAAGUUCUAAUCUUCAAACGUACCAGUGAUGAUUGUCUGUGUAAAUGUCUUAUUCAGAGAGGAACUGUAAAACGGUGUAUUUCCUUUAUGUUGCUCUUCUUGGGAGUCAAGGAAUAGUAUGGCUUAAUGAGGUACUGUAUGGGUUAUCAAUAGGAUUUUAUGAUGGACUUCAAUAGCUUUACAUCAGAAGCACACUUAAAAGACUUAUGGGGCA